UGAGGUUGAUGUUGAUGUUGAGGUUGAGGUUGAGGUUGAGGCUGAGGCUGAGGUUGAUGUUGAGGUUGAGGUUGAGGUUGAGGCUGAGGUUGAUGUUGAGGUUGAGGUUGAGGUUGAGGCUGAGGCUGAGGUUGAGGUUGAUGUUGAGGUUGAGGUUGAGGCUGCAGCCGUGGAGUCAGGUUGAAACGCUGCUGCUAACAAGAAGGAUAAAGAAGGAUUUACCUGGUAUUCACUUCUCAGCCAUAAUGUAUUACAGGACAGCUUUUCAAAUUCUCUCCCUGUGCAUUCCAGAGGAAGGAAAAAACCAGAUAUACUGUAUAAUAUUUCAACACUAACAUGGUGGAUACACAUUCAGAAGGCAUCUUUACAUGCUUCACUUUCUUUGUCAGAACACAUUGCAGUAUAUCUGUGCACUACAAAACAUCAUAAUGACAUGUCAUCAAGCUUGGAUGGAAGUAUUUAACACUCUCUAUGAGCUCCAGAAACACUACAGUUGUGAAGGUCAUACCUGUGGUUUAGUACAAUUCAACCCUUUACACUUGGUAAAACUGUUAAGUAAGUCACACU